AUUUUGAAGCACUGAAAACGAACUUAAAGACGUGUGCUAAAGGGACAAAAUUGAGGGUCUACAAAUAUGCCCCUCUUCGGUAUAGAUCACGAGUGUAGACAAUGUGAGUAGAAACACGAGUAAUGAGCGAAAUGAAGUGAACUAUAUCGAAGAAUUAAAGAAAGACCAGAGAUUUUGUCCUAGCACACGAAAAGGUAAGGUCAAAAGGUGGG
rnacentral:lncRNA from 1 species